UCCUGGCUAACAUGGCGAAAUCCCAUCUCUGCUAAAAAUACAAAAAUUAGUUGGUGUGGUGGCGGGUGCCUGUAUUCCCAGCUACUUGGGAGACUGAGGCAGAUAAUGGCUUGAAUCCGGGAGGCAGAGGUUGCAGUGAGCCAAGAUUGCGCCACUACAUUAUGAUUAAGUCGGAGUAUUUGAGGUCUCCAUCACAUUGAGUAUUUAUUAUUUCUGUGCGUUGGGGAUAAUUCAAGUUCUCUCUUCUAGCUGCUUUGAAAUAUACAAUGUAUUAGUUAACUGUAGUCACUCUAAUCUGCUGUUGAACAGUAGAAUUCAUACCUUUAUCUAAUUAUAUGUUUGUACCUAUUAACAUACUUCUCUUCAUCUCUUCUCCUACUCAUCCAUCCUUCCCAGCCUCUGGUAUCUAUAAUUCUACUCUGCCUUUAUGAGCUAACUUUUGUAGCUUCCCUGUAUGUGUGAUUGAGGACAUAACGAUAUUUGUUAAUUCUUUAAUCACUGAGCAUUAGUUGUUUUUUCUUUUUAUUUUGAGGGGACAGUAAAAAGGGUAUUGUAAUGUAUCCUCCUUUAGAUUCUGGUGAAGACCAGUUGAGUCAUGUAAAAAAUAACUAGAUCGCUUUAUUUUUAGAGUUGGGAGGCAAUGA
rnacentral:lncRNA from 1 species